UACGUAGGGGGCAAGCGUUGUCCGGAAUCAUUGGGCGUAAAGAGCGUGUAGGCGGCCCGGUAAGUCCGCUGUGAAAGCCCCAGGCUCAACCUGGGAACUGCACUCGAAACUGCGUUUCUUGAGUAUCGGAGAGGAAAGCGGAAUACCUGGUGUAGAGGUGAAAUUCGUAGAUAUCAGGUGGAACACCAGUGGCGAAGGCGGCUUUCUGGACGAUUACUGACGCUGAGACGCGAAAGCGUGGGGAGCAAACAGG
rnacentral:rRNA from 1 species